AUGAAAUUUGGAAUGAUAAAAAAGGGAAAGAGGAUACUUUUAUAAUUUUAAAUAGAAGAAAAAUAGAGGAGAAUGGAAGAAAUCGAAUUUGUUCCAACUUUGUUACUUUCCAAUGGAACAGAACAGGGAAUUAAUUAGAAAGAAAUAGAAGUAAUUCUAAAAUUCAAAAUUGGAGUAGCUCACAAAACCUCAACCCUUCCUUUUCUUCGACACUCAUUAUACUUUUUACCCCAUAAAAAUCUCUUCGUUAACUAUUAAGAAACGUACCGCGAUAUUUAUCUACGUAAACGAAGAAAAUUGGAGGAAUCCUUUCCGAAUGAAAAACCCAAUUUUACCACGAGUAUCAAUUCGAGCUUCCCCUAAAUCGCGAAAACAAAAAGCAGGGGAAAAAGGUUUCGAUUCAGGAACCCGGGGUCCCAGUAACUGCGCGAUCAGCCAGAUUUGUUCGCUCGUUCGCAAAAAAAAAAAAAAAGGAGAAAAAAGAAACGAAGAGAGAGAGAGAGAGAGAGGGAGAAAAAGGUUAGAAGCAGAGAAUUCACCUGUUAUCGUCGCGGCCAGGUUGCUCAGCACUUCCGUUUGUUUUCCAGACCCGUUUUCCGAGUCAUCUGGCCGGCUUGUUUGACCGAUUUAAUCCGAGAGAUCGGGCCGGUAACUACGUUAGUUUUAACGAGCCACCAUAAAGGACGAUCGAAAUUUAUAGAAUGGACGGUAAUGGCCGUCCACUUUCCAACUGCAAUCUGGCCACACGGAUCAGAAUUCACUCGAUUCAUUUGAAUUUCCACGCUGUGUCACGAAUAGAAUCCAAAACCAGGUUUCGAAUGGAAUAUUAAUAACCUCGAAUCGAACACACCGGGUAUAUAUCGUUCGUAUUGUAUUUUUAUUUCCAUCCUCUUUUCUUUUCUUUUCUUUUCUUUUUUUUCAAAUCUUGUGCAGGAAUCAAUUUUUCAGAUUCGUCGAAAUUUCGUCCUAUCCUCGUAAACAAUUACACGAUACGUUCAAGUAUUAUUAUAGGUUUAUUCAUCGUGAAAAUUAUCCUUGAAAUAUAAAUUCAUACCUCCGUUAAUUCUCCUUCUCUCUUGAGGAGAUUCACCUUUCGUCGUAAAUUUAAAAUUUUAUUGCAUGGAAUUGCAAUGAUCAUCUUUUUUAGAAAAUUAAUUCUUUAAAAAUAAUCCUAAAAAUACGGAAUUUGAAAAUUAUUUUAUGAGAUAAAUUUAUCAAAAUUUAUUGACAAUAUUCCUAACAUAAUAAUCUCUCAAUCCAACAAAUUUCGUCGUCUUUUAACACGUGAUCAACAUUGUGAUGAUAUGUAAAGCAAAAGGUACGAUUAAUCAUUUUCUAAAAAGAAAAAAUGAAGGUUUGGAUGGAAACGAACGGCCAAAAGUCGCACGAGAUUUUUCGCGCAGUAAAAUGAGCAGAAUUGUAUCGUCUGACCAAGCACGGUUGUUACCACUGAGGCGAGCCUCUCUCUUCUUCCGAUAAAAAAAUACUCCAUAAAGCGUCGUAACUGCGAUUCGACGGAUACAGUCGAAGUGACACUGCUCCGCGCAAAAGUCGUCCCGAUACGAUACGAUAUUCGUUAUGCAUUUCUGUGACUGGAUAUCGGGUCACGCCGAUACGAACCGCGUUGCUCGACGAGUUUAUUAUCGCCACGGGCUCGUUACCAAGCCGAACAACGUUUUUUUUUACGAUUUCGAGAGAGAGAAAGAAAGGAAAGGAGGAAAGAAAAACGAUUAACGAUUUGAUCCGAGCGACCGAGUUACCAAAUAGGGUGCACGGACGACGUGUGAAUCGAGUUGCGCGAUGAUAAAAAUGGACGUUUCGACGCUGUGGAAAAUAUCCAUGGAGGUUUGAUGUUUCAUUUUGCUCCCGCUUUUUCCUUUUUUUUUUUUUUUUUUUUUUUUUUUUUUUUUUUUUUUUGCUUUCGUUCGAUCGCGAUAGAAAUUAGAGGAAGAGUGUUUUUCUACCGAUCUUUCUUUUUUUUUUUUUUAUUUUUCGUUUCGGAGGGAGUUUUUAUUCCGCGUUGAUCCCUUAAUGCUCGAAUUUUUUCUUUUUUUUAAUGGUAAAAGUAUAUAAAAAAUUACGAAUGAAACUGAAUUCCUUCCUGUAUUUUCUGUAGCACAUUAGGAUUUAUAAUUACGAGAAUAUGGAAAACUUUAAAAAUGGUCGUCCCUCGAGUGUGCAACUUGGUAAUUAUGAGAAUUAUUACAGGAUACGGGCCCAAAACUUUUUUACCAAUUACGUUUCUAAUUACGAUAGAGAAUUUCGAGGAAAUUGCUGGCGAAAUUUCUAUAAUUAUUUAAAGCGUUAAAAUAUAUAUAUAUGUAUAUAUACGUCGAGGAAUUUAAUUUCGGGAGAAUUAUUCCCUCGUUACUUUCGUUACGUUUCACCAUCGAGUCGCGAAAUUAUUCUUCUCAUAAGUUAUGCAAAUCAUUCCCAUCUAGUUCUUUGUCGAAAGUUAGUGUCAACAUUUCAACAGUCUUAUUAUUCAAACAACGGUUGAACGAAUGAAAAUGGGUUCGUGAAAAUUCCGGAGUUGAUUUACCGGCAAAUCGUCACCAAAAAUUCGAUCCAUGUAAUGUAAUAAAAUCUGUUCUCUCAUUUAUUCAAAACCCUUCGUUCAACGGCGAACAGAGUGAAAUAAUGCGACGAGAUUCGAGGAGAAAUUCAAUUGUUUUGAUUCAAUGCGAAAAAUCAGCGGGUACGAUUUUUCGACGGAGCCGAAUUGGAAUAUCACAAUUCUCUACAACCGAUAAGAUAAGAACCGAUUUCUAAAAAUUUCGUAUCCCUAAAGAUUCUAAAUCUGUCAAACCGAAUCUCGUGUACAACUUUAGAAACGGAAGAACAUGCAUGUUUUUCAACUCCCACAAAAGUUCACCUCGAUCGAAACCAACGAAAAAAUCGAAACAUCAUUCAAGUAAGGAUAAACUCGAUUCUUCUUCUUCUUCUUCUUCUUCUUCCAACGCUCGAAACGAAUAAUCCUUCAAACAAAUAAUCCGCCAAAUAUUCGAUCGGAAACUCUUCCUCUCGUUCAAGGAAAAAAAAAAAAAAAAAAAAAAGAAACGUUCAAAUCUGCCUGCCAAGCCUGUAACGGUCGGCGAACGCUCGACGCCUGGCACGCAAUUUACGCGUACCCGUCGGCGGAUGGCGUGGCACUGUUAUCAAGCCAAGGGCUCCUCGCCACGAACCCCCAGCCGACGCCUAAGUCGGUGUGCGCAUGCGCGUGCCACACGGUCCCGGAACGAUGAAAAACACUAGCGGGUUCGUGUCUGUGAACGGGCGCGAGCCGUGGACGGCUCUUGGUGUAUGGCGCACUGCCACCUCUACGUCGACGCCGGCAGCACGGUCGGUAACCAGAUUGAGCUCCUCUUCUCUUCGACGAUCAAAAACAGGGCCGGGGACGAGGCGUUGUUUAUAGCGGGCGGAAAGGUCGAGCUCCUGGGUUCCUCCGCUCGGCUUCUAGGCUUAGUUUAGAAUGUUCAGUGGUGUGACCUCGGCCGUACAGACGACUACGUCCAUCGUUGAUUUUUGGGUUCGUGUCCGAGGAUUAUCGAUCGGAUACCCGCCGAUUCAGUAUAUUUUUUUUUCUUCUCUUUUUUCUCCUUUCGAUCGAAGAAGGAUGGAGGGAGAGAAUGUUUUCGUUUUGUUGGUUACUCGUUGGGGAGGGAUGACGAGGAUGUUGGCGUGAAUGCUCGACGCCGACGCAGAUACUACUCGUUAGAAAAACGAGACACUGAUGUUUCGAGCACAAACCAUUUUAAUCCACGGCACGUUGCAGCCGUUGAAACGGGCAGGAGGAGGAGCCCGACCGCUUUCACAGUCACUUAGCGCUUCGAGUAGAGAGCGGGACGGAUAAAGGAAGGGAAGAGAGAGAGACAGAGAGAGAGAGAGGAUGGAAGGGAAAGGGCUAACAGAAGAGCACUUAAACACUCUGACGGUUAAAUUUAAACUGGCCCGUGUUGCGCGAGCUAUCAUCCCCUCGAUGUUGAUCCGCACGAACGGUGCGGCCAGAAAUUACAUCAUCACCACGUCGUCUCCUUUUUCCCCUCCAUUCCUCUUUUCAUCCCUCUUAAGAAUCCUUCCUCUCUCUUUAACUAGUCAGCCAACCAUUUCUCCUGCCUCCAAUCUACGUUAUAUUCAAGAGUGUUCUACUGUGAGUCUACAUUUUGGAUGCACAGGAGGAGAGGAGGCAGAGAAGACUUUCUCACUGUAAAAAUUGUAAUAAAUAUUUGUAUCGAUCGAUGUCAAUGAAUAAAAAAAGAAUUCAAUAAAUUUUCAUCCCCUCUUCGAGCUUCAACUUCCUUUCUUUCCCCAACCAACGCAUGAUUAGUUUUACGUUUCGAAUAAGAAAAAUUUUCUUCUCACACGCUGCACAAGAUAUACGUUUUCUGAAAAGAGAAAGAAAAACUUUUAACUCAUCGAUUUAUUCAAUUUAACAUUGAU
rnacentral:lncRNA from 1 species